GCAUGACAUCUCAAUCCCUCUUUUGGAUAAUUUUCCAGUUUUACUGGUUUCACCUUGCUCUUUCUUCCUUUUCUUGCCAGGCCUUCCUGGCAUCUUCCUAACAUGAGGUGGUAUCACAGAGAUGUUUUGUGAUUCUGGCCACAUUUUCAGAUUCAUAACUAGCUGAAUGAAGUAGUUGUAUGUCUUCAUGUAUGUUUCU
rnacentral:lncRNA from 1 species